AAUGACAGCCAUAUCACAAUGAAUACACCAGUUCUCAUCCAAUCAUCGAAGUUAAGCAGCAUCUUGUCCAGUUUAGUACAUAGAUGGGUAACCACUGAUAGAAACUUCAGUGCUGUAAGCA
rnacentral:rRNA from 1 species